rnacentral:tRNA from 1 species
GGCCGAGUGGCGGAACUGGCAGACGCGCACGACUCAAAAUCGUGUAUCUUCGGGUGUGAGGGUUCAACUCCCUCCUCGGCCACCA